rnacentral:rRNA from 1 species
UACGGGGGGGGCAAGCGUUGUUCGGAAUUACUGGGCGUAAAGGGCUCGUAGGUGGCCAACUAAGUCAGACGUGAAAUCCCCAGGCUUAACCUGGGAACUGCGUCUGAUACUGGAUGGCUUGAAUUUGGGAGAGGGAUGCAGAAUUCCAGGUGUAGCGGUGAAAUGCGUAGAUAUCUGGAGGAAUACCGGUGGCGAAGGCGGCAUCCUGGACCGAGAUUGACACUGAGGCGCGAAAGCCAGGGGAGCAAACGGG